UGUGUUGCUUACCUGUCCCGACGGUAUUCAUCAGCCACGUUGCUCGUUUUCGUCUCGCCUCCUCACGGGGCGCGGGACGGACCUGUUGGCGCCUUGCGUGUUCCGUCGUUGGCCAUCGAUUGGCUUCAGCCUCGGCCCAUGCUCGGUGGCCGGUACUCCCGGAUGCUGAAAAUUAUGUAUGCGGGCAGAGGGGGCUCGAACCCCUUCAUCAAAAGCCCGGUCCCAGCGCUCGUCGCUCAAACCGAAAGACGUCGGCCCUCGCCUUGGCCUUCCUGAGCCGUCGGUUCUUGGAACGGCCAUGCGUUGCGCUGCCGUCUCGA
rnacentral:misc_RNA from 1 species